GCAAGCAAGGCUUCCACAAUCCUUGUCUCUCCUCACAACGCUGGCAUGCACAUACACAGCACACACAUCCACACACACCACACACACACCACACGCCACACACACACUACACACACCCACACACACACCAUGCACACCCACACACCACACACACCCACACACACCACACACACCCACACACACUACACAUACACACCACACACCACACACACACCACACACCACACACACCACCUACACCCACACACACCCACACACAACACACAACACACACACCACACACAUAACAUACAACACGCUGAACACACAUACCACACACACACCACACACCUCACACACACCACACACAUACACACACCACACACACGACACACACCACACAUCCACACACACACCACACCCCACACACACCCACACACCACACACACAACACACACCCACACACACACCACACACACCACAUACACCCCUUGGGGUUUCACUUGGGGGCUGAGUCACAGACCGCAGAGGAGGAGGCUGUGAUCUUUGAGAGCCAUGACCCCAGCCCAGGUGACAGGGUCCCGCGAUGUCCGCCUCUCCCUGUUCCCAUGCUC
rnacentral:lncRNA from 1 species